rnacentral:rRNA from 1 species
GCGAGAGCGACUGCGGAGGACAUUA